CGCGUCUUGUUCCAGGCGGAGGAGCUGUUCCCGGCUACGGCGCGCACCCGGGCCAGGUAGUAAAACGCGGGCUGCUGAGUUUCGCAGGUCUCCAAUCACCUCAGUUGCUGUCCUCUGGACAUAUUCCAGUUGUCUUUCCUAAAAUUGGCAUCCAGAAUUGGGUGUUAUAUUCUCGCUGCAGUCUGACUAACAAGGCGGGGAAAGAAGGAAUGGCUGCUUUUGAUUUUUGACAAAGAACUCACGUUGAUGCCCCCUAGGAUUGCAUGUGCCACCUUGAUGACUGCAUCCCUCUUAGUGGACGUUCACAAUUUGAUUCGACCAGAACUUCUUCCCAUGAGCUGCAGCCAAAACUGUUGUUCCUCCAACCACAGGCCUUUGGAGAAGAAGAGUUGGAGAAGUUGGGAAUCUUUAACCUGUAGAAUAAAAUAUUAUGGGAUACGUUAUAGUUAUCUCCAAGAAAUCAAAAGAUUGUGAUGUGGAAGAUUGGGUAAAUU